rnacentral:rRNA from 1 species
UGGAACAAUUUAGGCAAGGGAAGUCGGCAAAACGGAUCCGUAACUUCGGGAAAAGGAUUGUCUAUGAGGACUGGGCUCGGGGGUCCCGGCCCCGAACCCGUCGGCUGUCGGCGGAUUGCUCGAGCUGCUCAUGCGGCGAGCGGGUCGCCGCGUGCCGGCUGGGGGACGGACCGGGAAUCGCCCCUUCGGGGGCUUUCCUCGAGCAUGAAACAGUCGACUCAAAACUGGUACGAACAAGGGGAAUUUGACUGUUUAAUUAAAACAAAGCAUUGCGAUGGUCCUCGCGGAUGCUGACGCAAUGUGAUUUCUGCUCAGUGCUCUGAAUGUCAAAGUGAAGAAAUUCAACCAAGCGGGUAAAUGGCAGGAGUAACUAUGACUCUCUUAAGGUAGCCAAAUGGCUCGUCAUCUAAUUAGUGACGCGCAUGAAUGGAUUAACGAGAUUCCCACUGUCCCUGUCUACUAUCCAGCAAAACCACAGCCAAGGGAACGGGCUUGG